rnacentral:rRNA from 1 species
GAUGAACGCUGGCGGCGUGCCUAAUACAUGCAAGCCGAGCGAACGGACGAGAAGCUUGCUUCUCUGAUGUUAGCGGCGGACGGGUGAGUAACACGUGGAUAACCUACCUAUAAGACUGGGAUAACUUCGGGAAACCGGAGCUAAUACCGGAUAAUAUUUUGAACCGCAUGGUUCAAAAGUGAAAGACGGUCUUGCUGUCACUUAUAGAUGGAUCCGCGCUGCAUUAGCUAGUUGGUAAGGUAACGGCUUACCAAGGCAACGAUGCAUAGCCAACCUGAGAGGGUGAUCGGCCACACUGGAACUGAGACACGGUCCAGACUCCUACGGGAGGCAGCAGUAGGGAAUCUUCCGCAAUGGGCGAAAGCCUGACGGAGCAACGCCGCGUGAGUGAUGAAGGUCUUCGGAUCGUAAAACUCUGUUAUUAGGGAAGAACAUAUGUGUAAGUAACUGUGCACAUCUUGACGGUACCUAAUCAGAAAGCCACGGCUAACUACGUG